rnacentral:rRNA from 1 species
UACUAACUCUGGCGGCGUGCCUAAUACAUGCAAGUUGAGCGAUGAAGAUUGGUGCUUGCACCAAUUUGAAGAGCAGCGAACGGGUGAGUAACGCGUGGGGAAUCUGCCUUUGAGCGGGGGACAACAUUUGGAAACGAAUGCUAAUACCGCAUAACAACUUUAAACAUAAGUUUUAAGUUUGAAAGAUGCAAUUGCAUCACUCAAAGAUGAUCCCGCGUUGUAUUAGCUAGUUGGUGAGGUAAAGGCUCACCAAGGCGAUGAUACAUAGCCGACCUGAGAGGGUGAUCGGCCACAUUGGGACUGAGACACGGCCCAAACUCCUACGGGAGGCAGCAGUAGGGAAUCUUCGGCAAUGGACGAAAGUCUGACCGAGCAACGCCGCGUGAGUGAAGAAGGUUUUCGGAUCGUAAAACUCUGUUGGUAGAGAAGAACGUUGGUGAGAGUGGAAAGCUCAUCAAGUGACGGUAACUACCCAGAAAGGGAAGGAUAAAUACGUG